AUGUCAGUUGCGGCUCAUCGUCUGGCACUUUGCUUGUUAAUAUCGCUAGCUGCCUAGCGAAGGGCAACAAAUGACAG
rnacentral:pre_miRNA from 1 species